CUCCCUCCUUCACCCGGCCAAACUUCUCCUUCCAGAAACUGCCAGAGACCCAGAGGAUUUCCUACUCCUUUCCAUUGCUGGCAAACACAUCCAACACCAGGGCCACCUCAGGGGCUAACAGACCAACUCCUCAAAGCCCUGACAAGGCAAGGAGUGAAAGAUUGCUCACCCUACCGCAGCUCCUUGGCCUGGCCGCUGAAGACUGACGGAGCCCAGGGCCCCGGGCCCCAUCUGCCAUUACUGCAUCAGAGCCCAGGAUAACUCUGCUAGUAGCAGUUAUCAGCAACAGAAAAUCAAACUCCAUAAAACAAAAUAAAACAGAGCAAAUGGAAUGCUACAAGUCCCCGGAGUUGGAACAUCUGAUCAUUGGACACCAAGUGAGCCGUGAACAUGUGGCCAGGCUGGCUGACACGAGCUAUGAAUAGAUGAAAACAGCAGAAUUCAUGGACAAUGGGGAUAUAAAAGGUGGCAAUACAAAGUGGAAUAGAUAAUAAAUGAGGUGACUAGAAGAAAAUGGAGUAAAUUGAAUGUGAGUUCACAGGUAACAACACAGAAGAGAAAAGAAUGACUUAUUGGAAUCUUGCAAUUUGUCAAAGGUUAUUUAGCCUAUAAGUCAACAUUUUGUAUAAAUUUGAAAAUUAAACUAGCUCUUACCUCCUAAUGCA